rnacentral:rRNA from 1 species
ACGGAGAGUUCGAUCCUGGCUCAGGAUGAACGCUGGCGGCGCGCCUAACACAUGCAAGUCGAACGGCACCCCUCUUCGGAGGGACGCGAGUGGCGAACGGCUGAGUAACACGUGACCAACCUGCCCCGCGCCCGGGGAUAGCUCAGGGAAACCUGGGGUAAUACCCGAUGCGCCGGGGGGCCGCAUGGCCCCCC